rnacentral:rRNA from 1 species
CCUACGGGAUGCACCAGUGGGGAAUAUUGGACAAUGGGCGAAAGCCUGAUCCAGCAAUGCCGCGUGUGUGAAGAAGGUCUUCGGGUUGUAAAGCACUUUCGACGGGGACGAUGAUGACGAUACCCGUAAAAGAAGCCCCGGCUAACUUCGUGCCAGCAGCCGCGGUAAUACGAAGGGGGCUAGCGCUGCUCGGAAUGACUGGGCGUGAAGGGCGCGUAGGCGGUUUAUGCAGUCAGAUGUGAAAUCCCCGGGCUUAACCUGGGAACUGCAUUUGAGACGCAUAGACUAGAGGUCGAGAGAGGGUUGUGGAAUUCCCAGUGUAGAGGUGAAAUUCGUAGAUAUUGGGAAGAACACCGGUGGCGAAGGCGGCUUACUGGUCUGCAACUGACGCUGAGGCGCGAAAGCGUGGGGAGCAAACAGGAUUAGAUACCCGAGUAGUC